GAUGAACGCUAGCGGCAGGCCUAAUACAUGCAAGUCGGACGGGAUUUGGGAGCUUGCUCCUGAUGAGAGUGGCGCACGGGUGCGUAACACGUAUGUAACCUACCUUAAUCUGGGGGAUAGCCUCUCGAAAGAGAGAUUAACACCGCAUAACAUUAUUGAAUAGCAUUAUUUAAUAAUCAAAUAUUUAUAGGAUUAAGAUGGGCAUGCGGAACAUUAGCUAGUUGGUGUGGUAACGGCAUACCAAGGCUACGAUGUUUAGGGGAUCUGAGAGGAUGACCCCCCACACUGGUACUGAGACACGGACCAGACUCCUACGGGAGGCAGCAGUAAGGAAUAUUGGUCAAUGGACGCAAGUCUGAACCGGCCAUGCCGCGUGCAGGAAGACGGCCCUACGGGUUGUAAACUGCUUUUGCAGGGGAAUAAACCUUCGUAUGUAUACGAAGCUGAAUGUACUCUGAGAAUAAGGAUCGGCUAACUCCGUGCCAGCAGCCGCCGUAAAAC
rnacentral:rRNA from 1 species